AUUGAACGCUGGCGGCAGGCCUAACACAUGCAAGUCGAACGAGUGGCGGACGGGUGAGUAAUGUCUGGGAAACUGCCUGAUGGAGGGGGAUAACUACUGGAAACGGUAGCUAAUACCGCAUACCAUCGGAUGUGCCCAGAUGGGAUUAGCUUGUUGGUGGGGUAUCGGCUCACCAAGGCGACGAUCCCUCGCUGGUCUGAGAGGAUGACCAGCAACACUGGAACUGAGACACGGUCCAGACUCCAACGGGAGGCAGCAGUGGGGAAUAUUGGACAAGGGGCGCAAGCCUGAUGAAGCCAGGCCGCGUGUAGGAAGAAGGCCUUCGGGUUGUAAAGUACUUUCAGCGGGGAGGCGGUACCGGCAGAAGAAGCACCGGCUAACUCCGUGCCAGCAGCCGCGGUAAUUC
rnacentral:rRNA from 1 species